CCUGCCCCAAAGGUGUCACAGAUGUGGCUGCUGUAUCACUUGUGUGUUAGUAGGUGGCAGACAGAAGAGAGGCUAUACCUAGGCUCAGUAUUCUGAUCUAUGAAUAUCUGAAUGAUUAGUAGCCUACCAUU